UCCGUCUUUCAUAGCAUUAAAGGCGGUAGUUGAAAACCAGCCGAGCCCCACUAAGACCACACCGAGGUCCGACAGUGGUGGCGGAGGAGGGGGUUUGUGCAAUAUUUAUGUGCAGUGGCCACCAGGACGGUUUCCGCGGUGGAGGUGUAAAGGCAAGAAGGAGGAGACACACAGAAGAAGGUGACUUACAUCGAAGGAGCACGGUUGAAUGUGCCCAAAAUGCCCAAUACAAGCGAAAACUCACAUUCCGGCUCGACGACGACGACGGCGGCGGCGACGACGGCGACGGCGGCAAGCGCCGGUGAUGACCUGGGGAGCACGGACGAGGUGAAGGUGUUCAAAGAUGAAGGCGACCGGGAGGAUGAGAAAGCCUCGUCCGAGAAUCUGUUGGAGGAAAAGUUCAACCUGAUCGAUCUAACCGAAAGCGCGGAAAACCUGGUGAAGAACUCGGCCGCCCGGCAAGACCUCAGCCCACCCUACGUCGGUCCAGGUACAUCCUCGCGCUCAGUGUCGUCGCCCGUGGGUGGGAGUGGUGGAAGCGUCAGCGGAGGUCCAGGGAGCGGGCCUGCCGGGAGUAGCUCUGGCAAGCUGUCCGAUCAUUCCCCUGACCACUCGCCGGGAGGCUUCGCGCCGAUGGGAGGCUAUCUACCGCCUUAUCAGUACUCCAGCGGUACGGCCAGCGCUCUGCAAGCUGCAGGAUCGAUGGGCAAGGGUCUUGGCGGACUGUCGCAGUUCUUCUGCAACGAGGAUCCCCUCUCAAAUCCUCCACCCGCCCAUUGCGGAAUUCUGCCCUACCAGCUUGACUCGAAGGCGAUCGGGUUGACCGCUCGGCAGUCGCUGUACUCGUUCUCCACCACCCAGUACCCGUACCCAUCAAUCCUAUCCUCCAACAUGCUGCCGGUGCCUCCCUCUUGGCAUACGCCUUCAAUGUAUUCGACGGCUCCGAGUUUCCGUAACUCGUACCCCUCGUCUUUGCAGAUUUAUACCACGCUGGCCAGCGACCUGUACUCGCGCUACCAAUCCUCUCAGUCACUGCUCAACUCGGUGCACUCUCACGCCUCAGUGCUUAACCAGAGCCUUCAGCAACAGGUAAAGCAGGAAGCAACGGGGUGCGGGGCGGUAGCCGGUUCCACCGUCAGUGUUGGCCAGGACAUGUCUCACAAUUACAGCGUCCGCCAGCAUGCACACGGGCUCAGUCCUGGCAGCAAGUCGGUGGCGGACCUGCCCCAAGAACUGACGAACCAUCGCUUCGGACGAGCGCAGAGCGUGGGCAGCACUGGUAGUGGUGGAGGCGGGGGUGGCAGCGGCAGCAUUGGCAACGGAGCGAGCAGCGGAGGAAGUAAUACCAGCGGUGGGGCAAGUGGAAGCUCCAAGAAGAAGUGUGCAAGCGAGCGAAGUCGAGAUCAGCAGCAGCAGGGCAGUCAUCAGCAGAAUCCACCACAACCGAACAGACCACAUAUCAAAAAGCCGCUGAAUGCGUUCAUGCUGUACAUGAAGGAGAUGCGCGCGAAGGUAGUUGCCGAGUGCACGCUGAAGGAAUCGGCUGCGAUCAACCAGAUUCUCGGGCGGAAGUGGCACUCACUGUCGCGGGAUGAGCAAAGCGUGUACUACGACAAAGCGCGCCAGGAGCGACAGCUGCACAUGGAGAUGUACCCGGGGUGGACGGCACGAGACAACUAUGGCUACGGUUCGAAAAAGAAGCGAAAAGCGAAGAAAAAGGACCAACUGGGUGGUAGCACCGAACCACCAAGCAGGCGCAAGAAAAUAUGUAUACGUAACGAAGAGUCCGACAACUACGACGGGUCGCGCAUGUCGGACGAGUACAUUGGCAGCUAUGGCACGGUGGUGUAAUGAAACGAUGGACGGGAUGCCCCAUGAAGCUGCCACCUUCGCCACAAGCAGACGUCGCUCAAUGAAACUGAGGACCAUUGGGCCAGGGACCAUCGGAAUAUGGACUAACCGAGCGGGGCAGCUGGACUGCACAGGGAACUACGCGAGUUUGCCACACUCUAACGCACGCACGCAACGUGAAACUUUACCUAAAAAGACUUCAAACGACACUAAGUCACUGUAUACACGCGAUAAGAGAAGGCGGAGGAGAGGAGAAGAACGAGCAGACCCAAGAACAUACCAAAGCAAACCGAGGUUGCGGUAGAGGGAGGGCGCUGUAGGCCAAAGAUAACAUUUUAAUAAAACCACUCACAAUAUAAUGGUAAGAAAGCAAUCUUUAGUGCAAUCAGAUUUAUCAUACCCCAGUGUCGUAGGCCCAAUGUCAUGCAGAGGGAGUUGUCCAUAAAAUCAUCCUAUUAAGCGAAGGGUGCCAAAAGUAUCCCACUGAUUUCUGUUCUAAGAAAUUGUCGCAAACAUCUUACGAAUUUACUUUUCGCCACUCGUACUUAAUACGGAGCAGAAAAGGGAAGUGCUGGUUUGAACGAGCGUGUGCGGUGACGACAGAGAGAUAGCCUUAUGCUGCAAUGGCCGACGUAAAUCGAUGUCAGUAGUUACGACAGUACAGGGAGCGCCUAUGGUUGUUGGUACGGGAUGCACACAAAACGCACGGCAUCCACAGGCGCACGCAGCUUUAGGUGGGAUGUUACGAAUCGGUGGUGUUUUACAAGUUAUGAACUCUGUAUACGGAAAAAGGUUACAAUCUUUGUCUGAAUGUCGAUGCUGUAUAAACAUCAAGAGAGAUUGUGCGACGCGCACGGUGAACUCGGCGUGUCAGAGCUAUAUAUACAUACAUAUAAAUAUACAUAGUAGGUAUUUUUAGAAUGUAAGAAACUGCAGCUAACUACAGUAAGGUACCGAUUGACGUUGAUUGUAGCGCACCAGGCUGAGAGGUACAUGGGUCGUUUAUCAUAGACAAAUCUAUACAAUGCUCGGGAGCCGCUGUAUUUUCUUGUACCAGCGACAGAGAAAAAAAUCUUAACCGAAUCCAUAAAGAAU